AUUUCAAAUCCCAAAAAGUAAAGAACUCGCAAAACCCUCCCACGCGAAUUUUUGUCGAACUGAAUUGAAAAAAGUCCAUUGUGCUGAUAUCGGCGGCAAAUUGCGUUCUUGAUUCCCAAUCCGCACUUCCACGGUAAAGAGGUUUAGCUCCACAUCUAAGUGAUGCCCCUGUCGUAGGCCAAGAUCUUUCCCUUCAUCUCUAUUUAUGGCUCCAUUGUUUGACUACUGCACUGAGAGAGUACUUCGCCCUCGUGAGAGUUAGCUACGCCUUAUUUCGAUAAACUUGACCCAUGGGAAGGAGAAUAAUUCUAGCAUGCACAUGCCUCCCAACACUGUUCUCAAGGUUUUCAUCCCUAUAGGAAGACCCUCAAGAUCCAAGACCCACCCAUCUUAUGAUGUUUGAUUGUACCAUGACAUAGGCAUGUGCCAUUAGAUAGUUCACUCAGAACUUCAUUUAUUGUAAGGUGGGGAGAGAUGACAACCUGCCUCCAUAAAGGACUUUCUAAGACUGCCUUUGAUAGGCACAAACGUCAAAAGUAGUCAAGGGUGUUCAAACCUGACAUACAACAUUCUUUUCUAUACCAUUGGUGUGAUUUCAA